CCCUGGUUAGCUCAGUUGGUAGAGCGCUCCACUAUGAAUGAAGAAGUCCCGGGUUCGAUACCCGGAUCAGGCG
rfam:Ixodes scapularis strain Wikel colony gcontig_1108379406390, whole genome shotgun sequence.